GCUUAAGUUGCGCACUUGCUGUAAAUAUGGACGAAGAACAAUCGGUGGAAAUUUAGAUGGAUCUUCCUCGAGAUUUUGGAGGUCCAUAAAGGGCCACUUUACAUGC